AGCGGGGCUGAAGCCCUGGGCCCGGCAGAGGAAGGUCGAGAUGGACCAUGUUGGGCCCCUUCUCUCCCCGCCCCCAGGCCGCAGUUCGGGGGCCACGCCCCGGCGUGCUCGGGUCACCGCGGGAAGCCCUUGAACCCCCUGGCGCCCGGCACCCACGUGCGGUAACCGCGGCUCCUCGAGAGCUCCAGGGAUGCGGAUCUACAGUAAGGGCUGUGGCCAGAUGAAUGAAUGCACAUUUUUUAGUGGGCAGAAAGAUGUUAGAAUUCAUGAAUUAGAAUAAGCACAAAGGAGGGCGAGAGGGGAGGCCGUGGAAGCCGCAUUCCUCCCCUUGCCUUGGGCGCCCACCCCCGAAGGGGCGCGUCCCCUCCCUGCUCCACUGCACGUGGGUGUUUAACCAGGGGAUAUCCAGUGCCUCAAGCACCACGACCCGGGAGAAAACUGAGUUGAGAAGGCCUUGGGGAUGAAGGUGAGAAAUUCGAGAAUCCCCGGAGAUAACACAUCAGCAAAUAGUGCGCAGGCAGAACAAGCUGUUGGAGGUGAGAGACACAGAGCAGAGAAGCACCCGCACCUGGAGAGUCAGGAGGGCCUCACAUCAGAACGCCUGAGCAAAUACAGUUUUGAAGGAUACUAAUUUUUUAAAAAGUUCAUUCACAUGAGUUAGACAAAGAGAAAGAAGCAGGACAUUCUAGGAAGAAGGAACGGCCCAGGCAAAAGCGACGCGUACAUUGGCGUGGGUCCAUUCAAGAAUUGUGCCCACAAUAUACCAGGCACUUGUCCAGACCUGCAUCGUCCAAUGCCCACCUCGACCUCCCAAAGUGUUGGGAUUAGAGGCGUGAGCCACCGCGCCCUGCCUGCAUGUGGCUAUUGAGAUGUGCUGUAUGAUACACACCGGACUUUGAAGACUCAGUGUGAAAAAUAAAAAGAAUUUUAAGAGGGGUGGGGGUCGAGGGGAGGCAGAGCAGUAGGACAAAUAGCUAAUGCACGCAGGGCUUAAAACCUAGACAACAGGUUGAUGGGUGCAGCAAACCACCAUGACACAUGUUUAUCUAUAUAGCACCUACAUGUUCUGCACUUGUAUCCUGGAACUUAAAAUUAGAAAAAAAAAAUAAUAAAAGCCAACAUGGCAUUCAUUACUGCCAAAAAAAUU
rnacentral:lncRNA from 1 species